rnacentral:rRNA from 1 species
UACGUAGGGACCAAGCGUUGUCCGGAUUUAUUGGGCGUAAAGAGCGUGUAGGCGGCCAUACAGGUCCGUUGUGAAAACUGGAGGCUUAACCUCCAGACGUCGAUGGAAACUGUGUGGCUAGAGUCCGGAAGAGGAGAGUGGAAUUCCUGGUGUAGCGGUGAAAUGCGCAGAUAUCAGGAAGAACACCCGUGGCGAAGGCGGCUCUCUGGGACGGUACUGACGCUGAGACGCGAAAGCGUGGGGAGCGAACAGG